UGGGGAAUAUUGCACAAUGGGCGCAAGCCUGAUGCAGCCAUGCCGCGUGUAUGAAGAAGGCCUUCGGGUUGUAAAGUACUUUCAGCGGGGAGGAAGGGAGUAAAGUUAAUACCUUUGCUCAUUGACGUUACCCGCAGAAGAAGCACCGGCUAACUCCGUGCCAGCAGCCGCGGGAAUACGGAGGGAGCAAGCGUUAAUCGGAAUUACUGGGCGUAAAGCGCACGCAGGCGGUUUGUUAAGUCAGAUGUGAAAUCCCCGGGCUCAACCUGGGAACUGCAUCUGAUACUGGCAAGCUUGAGUCUCGUAGAGGGGGGUAGAAUUCCAGGUGUAGCGGUGAAAUGCGUAGAGAUCUGGAGGAAUACCGGUGGCGAAGGCGGCCCCCUGGACGAAGACUGACGCUCAGGUGCGAAAGCGUGGGGAGCAAACA
rnacentral:rRNA from 1 species